GUAAGUAGGAAAACAUGCAAAAUCGGUAGUGUAUCAAAUACUUGUUCUCCUCACUGUAUGUGCAGAGGGUCCCUGUUUCGAGCCCGGGUAGGGGCGAGGAGAGGAACGGAAGCAAAACUGUUACACGCCACCAUUUUAAAUCAGGACAAUCUCCUAUUUUUAAUAAUAUAAGUCUGGGCAGCAAGCUCGUUUGUCAUCGAUCACUAGACCAGAAAUAGACAGAAGUUACAUUUUGUCCUCUACUUUUUCAUUACGCAGACACAAGCACAGUUGACACCAUCGAGGUGCGGAUGUUUACUUUCAACACAAGUUUGUUUUAUUCCAGUUUCGCCCGAAGAACAGAUUGUAGUGGUAAAAUAAAAAGGAUACAUUUUUUAUGGAAUUCUAAGCAUCACUCCAGUCAAAACAGACUCUGCGAACGUUCGAUUCCAUUCAUUUGCUAUGGGCUUGUGCUAGUGUUCCAGUUUAGCCAAGGUUCUAAAGCCGUUUUGACUAGUUCUAUUGUCCAUCUUAUAGCUAGCCAGAGCGGAUUUACAAAAGCAUACGACUAUACUAUUUAGCUAAGCUAAGAAUGACAUGAAUAAUACACUUUGGGUUGUUAGCCUAUAGUUAAUAUACUGGCAAGUUUGAUGUAUAACUACUAACGUUAGGUAGCUAGUUAACAUACCGGUACAUACUGCUGUAAUGAUAUGCUAUGUGGUUCGUAAGGACAGCGUAGCUAACAAAUUGUCAGCCAACAUAACAUGUAAGGUAACUUAUUUGAAAAGUAAUUACUUUAUUACAUUGAGUAGCAAGCUACCCCUUGGUCGUUAGGGCACAUCUUGUCUGUGAUAGUUUUUUUUUUCACUCCUGGCUCGGCUACUAGACUAUUUUUUUAGUAAAGAUUGAAUAGUCUAUUGUUCAGCUAUUAGCCCUCCCCAACUUGCAACAAAUUGCUGUUCCCAUCUCAUUCCAUUCCCUCAUCCACACGUCAUCAUUCUGCUCCUCAGUGGCUCGCUUGUGGGCGUGCUGGCAGGAUAUGGCAGCAUCUUCGGUUGUGCGUCAAGAAUUCUGCAUAUGGUAGCACAUUUGUAUGAAGGUGUGGUUAUUCACAGGCAAAUUGUUAUAUGCUAUGGAGGUACACUUAUGUCUUUUUGUCGAGAGCAAAACAUUUUUAAUCCCCCCCCCAAAUUUUUUUUUUUCUGAAAGCAACUUUUUUACGACACAAAGGAAGUCAAAGCGGACACCUAUGAAGAUGGCAUCUCAGGUAAGCAGCACUGGGCUGUGUUGACGUAUCCUAAAAAUGACAUCUGCUACUUUAGAUUGAACGGCUACUUUAGAUUGAACGGUCACAUCUCAGUUAUAAAAAAGAAGCUGUUUUCUUUACUUUCAGAGAGCGAGCUGACCAAGGGGUCGAAAAAGUAGAUUUUGCCGUCCGAGAAACAGGCCGUGGAAGCUUUAUUGCUGGCAAAAGUGUACAUAACCAGAGCUAUUUUGGUGAACCCCUCCCGCAUCUGAACUGGCUGCACAGCACGAUCAUAGGUAUGUUUUGAUGUGAGAGAGGAAGCCAGUCCUGUCAUAUCCACCUCACCCGCUCUUAGGAUAACUUCCGAUCCAACUGGGGGCCCACGGCUGGUUAGGAGACACCGCAAUUGUGAUGAACUGAAAGAAUAUUAGGGUAGCACUGUAAUUCAUUAAUCAUAUGCUGUCUGCCGCUGUUCUUACCUCUUUCUCUUUCUGUCUUCAACACCUCUCUCCCCACCUUGUCUUUCUUCCUUGUUUUAUAAUGCACACCGUAUGUGCAUUGAAGUACAGAUUGAACUCAUAUUUAUAAUAUUACAAUUAUCAUAACUAUAAUGCAUUUAUGUACCUGGAAAAUUAACUUCUUUCAAUAAAGCGUUUCACAUUC